CUGCCCUCCAGAAAUACUUCACAACCCCAAAGAUUACUUUGACCAUUGCCCACACUUGCCAGAAAAUGUCAAGCCCGCUUGGUUAGCUGAGUGGCUCUGUGAAUGAGGCCAAGGUCAUAAGUUCGGAGGAGGGGGGACCUUCACGUAGCAAGGUUGACCAGGAAGCGCUGCCACAUUAUCUAAAGCCCGCUACUUCCCAUCCACAGACAUUUGCUAAUUGGGCCGGGUCCUCUUCGCGGGCAGAGGGCCGGGAAGCCCCCACCUCCGGCCGCCCGCGUGUCCUCCCCUCCUCCGUCGCGCGGGCCCGGCGAGGGUCAGCCUGGCACCGCGGCUCCAAGUACCACACCGCCGGACCGAACCAGGAGCCAUAUUUAGCUGUAUUUUUUGGUCAAUAAAACAAACUUCCGUCUUCUAACGAAAAACGGUCCCAACUCAAUGUCAAACUAGGACGGAAACUCGCUGUUCGCCGCAGCUGCCAA